CCACAUGGCCACACCUGAGUGUGAGUACCUGCUCCUGUCUGAGCUCAGAAGCUAAGCAGAGUUGUGCUGGGUCAGUACUUGGAUGGGAGACCACCUUGGAAGACCAGUGGGUUGUGUCAA
rnacentral:rRNA from 12 species